rnacentral:rRNA from 1 species
GUGGGGAAUUUUGGACAAUGGGCGCAAGCCUGAUCCAGCCAUACCGCGUGGGUGAAGAAGGCCUUCGGGUUGUAAAGCCCUUUUGUUGGGAAAGAAAUCCUAUCGGUUAAUAACCGGUGGGGAUGACGGUACCCAAAGAAUAAGCACCGGCUAACUUCGUGCCAGCAGCCGCGGUAAUACGAAGGGUGCAAGCGUUACUCGGAAUUACUGGGCGUAAAGCGUGCGUAGGUGGUGGUUUAAGUCUGCUGUGAAAGCCCUGGGCUCAACCUGGGAAGUGCAGUGGAUACUGGAUCACUAGAGUGUGGUAGAGGGAUGCGGAAUUUCUGGUGUAGCAGUGAAAUGCGUAGAGAUCAGAAGGAACAUCCGUGGCGAAGGCGGCAUCCUGGGCCAACACUGACACUGAGGCACGAAAGCGUGGGGAGCAAACAGGAUUAGAAACCCUGGUAGUCC